UACGUAGGGUGCAAGCGUUGUCCGGAAUUAUUGGGCGUAAAGAGCUCGUAGGCGGUCUGUCGCGUCUGCUGUGAAAACUCAGGGCUUAACCCUGAGCUUGCAGUGGGUACGGGCAGACUAGAGUGCGGUAGGGGAGACUGGAAUUCCUGGUGUAGCGGUGAAAUGCGCAGAUAUCAGGAGGAACACCCGUAGCGAAGGCGGCACUCUGGGCCGAUACUGACACUGGAGGAGCGAAAGCGUGGGGGAGCAAACAGG
rnacentral:rRNA from 1 species